rnacentral:lncRNA from 7 species
AGCCUGCUAGGCAAGUCACCUCGGCUCUGCGCUCUUGGCCGCUUCCAAGACCUCCAGUCUUCUUUAACCGGAUAAACCCAGGAGCCGGGAAGCUAGGGUGCAGGCGUGAUCCUCCAACCCUUGAGAGCUAUGGACCUCCUGGAGUACUGGAAAAGAGAUCGUUGGGUUCUCGGACUGUUGACCUGCGUCCUUCCAAGCUGAUAAGCCCAGGACCCUAGGACGGGAUGCUAGGACUCCUGUGUGGCGCCUUGCUUUGAACCCUUUCCCAAGGGCUGUUUCCCAGAUGAGCCUUUGCCGCAAGGCCCUCUUGACACCAAGGAUGACGACGCAAAACCUGCGGCAGCCAACACCCCUCUCCCCACUCUCCGCACUCACUGGUGGGUGCCACCAUCCAGGAAGCAAGUAUCCCGGUUCUUUGGCAGGAGAUGGGAUAAAAAACCUUUUGGAGUCGCUGCCGUUUAUCAGAGCUUGGAGGAACGAUCUGAAAAGUGCUCUCUGACAGAAUUGACAGCUUGGUGCAGAGGGGACAUGAGAGGUGUCUCUGUCCAGCUAGGAAGCAGCUGGACCACAGCGCUCCCAAGGAACGUACUCCCCAACAUCAGUGUGGAGCGACCAGAGAGCAUGACCAUCUCGCAGUGAUCGCCUGCAGGGGCCUUAGCCAGGUGAUGGUGGUGGUACCCAGGAAGAGCAAGGUUGCUGGCACGCAACAUGCCUGCAGCCCUUGAUGCUGUUGGCUCACCAGCACGGAGCACCUUUUUACUUUGGUAGGUAUGCAGAGGGAAGGGC